UGGCGCCCGUAUAAUUCCCGCUGCUAUAAACUUGUUAAAGCUCAUUUUCUGACCUGGAUCGAAGCUCAGAAGCACUGCAAAGGUAUUGGAGGCCAUCUGGCUUCAGCCACCGACUCAGGAUUGUCAGUUUUCCUCCAAACGAUGAUGCAAAGAGCUAAUGUACACUCUGCAUGGCUUGGAGGUUUUUGGCUGCAGGACCAAUGGAGGUGGAUUAAUGGCGAGGAUUUAUACUUUAAAGGCUGGUCUCAGAACUAUCCGAGUAAUUCCCGUCCGAUCCCAUCCUGCAUGUACUUAGACCCUGGCU